rnacentral:misc_RNA from 1 species
ACCAAUCAAGCACCGCUUGGUAUUGGGCCUUCGCCCCCCGGAAGGAGGGCGUGCCCCGAAACAUUCGGCGGAGUCGCACCGGCUUUGGGCGUAGUAGAAUCUUCAAACGUCCUGCGGGCCGGCGGGUCUUUUGCCGUCAAACCACCAAACCAUAUCACCAGGUUGACCUCGGAUCAGGUAGGGAUACCCGCUGAACUUAA